AUUAAAAAGAAAAAAAAAAACAUUUUUUUGCCUUUUGUCUAUAAUUAACAACAAAUUAACAAUACCUAAAUAAAUUAAACAAUUAAAUAACAACUAAUUAACAAUACCCAUAUAAAUUUAACAGCUAAAUAACAAUUAAUCAACAAUAUCCAUAUAAAUUAAACCAAAAUAUAUUAACCAAUUAACAAGAAUAAAAACUAAAUUAAAUAAAUUAACAAUGCCUAUUUAAAUUAAACCACUAAAAAACAACAAAUUCACAAUAACCAUUCAAGAAGAGAGAAGAUGGAGGAGAAAAAAUAAGGAAAAAAGUAAAAAAGUUAAAAAAAAAAAAAAUUACAUUCAAAAAUGCCAUAAUCCAUUCA
rnacentral:misc_RNA from 1 species